rnacentral:rRNA from 1 species
UACGUAGGCGGCGCUAUCAGUCGGGUGUGAAAGCCCUCGGCUCAACCGAGGAACUGCGCCCGAUACUGUAGUGCUUGAGGGAGACAGAGGUAAGCGGAACUGAUGGUGGAGCGGUGAAAUGCGUUGAUAUCAUCAGGAACACCGGUGGCGAAAGCGGCUUACUGGGUCUCUUCUGACGCUGAGGUACGAAAGCUAGGGGAGCGAACG